UAGGGAAUCUUCGGCAAUGGACGAAAGCCUGACCGAGCAACGCCGCGUGAGUGAAGAAGGUUUUCGGAUCGUAAAACUCUGUUGUUAGAGAAGAACAAGGACGUUAGUAACUGAACGUCCCCUGACGGUAUCUAACCAGAAAGCCACGGCUAACUACGUGCCAGCAGCCGCGGUAAUACGUAGGUGGCAAGCGUUGUCCGGAUUUAUUGGGCGUAAAGCGAGCGCAGGCGGUUUCUUAAGUCUGAUGUGAAAGCCCCCGGCUCAACCGGGGAGGGUCAUUGGAAACUGGGAGACUAGAGUGCAGAAGAGGAGAGUGGAAUUCCAUGUGUAGCGGUGAAAUGCGUAGAUAUAUGGAGGAACACCAGUGGCGAAGGCGGCUCUCUGGUCUGUAACUGACGCUGAGGCUCGAAAGCGUGGGGAGCAAACAGG
rnacentral:rRNA from 1 species